GCCAGGUGUGGUGGCGCAAACCUGUAAUCCCAGCUACUUGGGAGGCUGAGGCAGGAGAAUUGCUUGAACCCAGGAGGCGGAGGUUGCAGUGAGCUGGGAUCACACCACUGCACUCCAGCCUGGGCAACAGAGUGAUACUCUGUCUCAA
ensembl:misc_RNA Metazoa_SRP Metazoan signal recognition particle RNA